GACGAAGUGGCGAACAUGGAGGGUAGUAGAGAAGCGUCAACGAAUUCACUGCUAAAUGAUGGUGUAUCAGCCACGUAUUCGUUUAAGAAUGAGAGCUACCGAGUUGACUGUGCAGUCCAUCAUUGGCAACUUACAGCAAGAAUGCUAUGCUGAUUUUCUCACAGAGGACUUUGACGUGAAGACGUACACAGCCCAGGCCAUCCACCAUGCUGUCAUCUUAGAACAGCUGGCCAAGCUGGCUCAGGGUAUCAGUCAGCUGGACAAGGAGCUCCACAGCCAGGUGGUAGCCAGGCACGAGGAGCUACUUACUCAAGCUACUGGGACUGAGUCUUUGGAAGUUAAUAUACCUUUAGCUAAAAUUUGUUUUUGUCAUCGUGGCACUUCGGACUUGUUGGAACAGGGGUUCUCAAAGUGGGGUCUGCGGACCCCUCUGGGCUUUUGGCCAAGAGAGCCAUGGCCAAAAGCCACGGAUCCCUGUGUAAUACAAUACAAGUACCGUGGAUACAAUGUAAUAUUAUGCAUCUAAAAUGUAUCUUCUUAACCCUGAACAACAUGGGCCUGGGAGGCUCACAGGGAUAUUGGUAUCCACAGUACUCCACCAAUUGAUCACGCUCUCCACAGCCGAUGUGAGUAAGGCCUUUAAACAGGUCAACAUUCGCAAGGCUGCAGAGUCAGACGGAUUACCAGGACGUGUACUACGAGCAUGUGCUGACCAACUGGCAAGUGUCUUCACUGACAUUUUCAACCUCUCCCUGUCUGAGUCUAUAAAUCCAAUAUGUUUCAAGCAGACCACCAUAGUUCCUGAAAGAUUAUUGGAAUCUGUGUGGGUAGCUGGACAGGUAGGAUGACUGGCAAUAGUGAAGGUGAACAGAUGGUCAGGUGACAGAGGAAUGACUGAGGCAGGACUUCCUUUAACCACAAAGUGGUAUAUGUACUGGUUAGUUUGUCUGUGCUGUAUAACAAAAGAAACAGAAUAACAUGUACCCAAUAAAAAUUCAAAUCAGAAAGUCAAAUGAUAACUAUCAUUGUCAUUAUUAACAUAAUAAUUCAGCAAUAAGGUUCCAUAGGAAUUCAAUAUGAAGCAGAAUGGAGUCAUUUAUGAUCAUAACCAUGUUAACCAUCAUGUUAAUCCAGAGAAGGAUUAAUGCAAAUAAAUUGUUCAUUUAUACAAUCUAUAACCUCCAAUUUUAUAUAAGAAUUUAUCAUUUCAGCAAACCAUUAAGUUUAAUAUUUCAUCCUUCUAGGUUAGUCUUCAUAUGUACAUGUAAUUUCAUUACAUUUUAACCAUCUAUCAAUGUCUGUAGGGCUGUGAUCAUUGGCCAUAUACAUAACACAACAGGUUUGAAGCGUGCACUCCAAGCCUCGCUCCGCAGUAAUUACUAUAAACAAUAACUGAUGGCCCGCUCUCCCGAUUGCAGCAUAGUUCAGAUGAAAGGGAACAGAUUCGGUGGAGUUACGUUGAUUCAUGGACACACAGAAUGUCUGGAUUAGACGAAGUUGACGAAGAGAAAGCAGUGAGGUUGGGCAGUGGCGAUGUCCUCCUUUUACUGAUUUGAGAUCUGUCUGACAUUUCCACCCGACCUAAUUAAAGCGCCCCUGGCCCAGCUGAGCAAGUGGCCAUGAAUUAAAGGACAAUUCCACCAACUCCAUAGGCCAUUCUACAGUCCCUGUGCCCAAGAACACUAAGGUAACCUGCCUAAAUGACUACCGACCCGUAGCACUCACGUCUGUAGUCAUGAAAUGCUUUGAAAGGCUGGUCAUGGCUCACAUCAACACCAUUAACCCAGAAACCCAAGACCCACUCUAAUUUGCGUACCUCACCAACAGAUCCACAGAUGAUGCAAUCUCUAUUGCACUCCACACUGCCCUUUUAAAACAUUUAUUUAAAUUUGUUCACCUUUAUUUAACUUGGUAAGCUAGUUGAGAACAAGUUCUCAUUUACAACUGCGACCUGGUCAAGAUAAAGCAAAGCAGUGAGACAGAAACAACAACACAGGGUUGCACAUGGAAUAAACACACCUGGACAAAAGGGACACCUAUGUGAGAAUGCUAUUCAUUGACUACAGCUCAGCUUUCAACACCAUAGUGGCCUCCAAGCUUAUCACUAAGCUAAGGACCCUGGGGCUAAACAACACCCUCUGCAACUGAAUCCUGGACUUCCUGACGGGCUGCCCCCAGGUGGUAAGGGUAGGCAACAACACAUCCGUCCACGCUGAUCCUCAACACGGGGGCCCCUCAGGAAUGCGUGCUCAGGCCCUUCCUGUACUCCCUGAUCAUUCAUGACUCCAACACCGUCAUUAAGGUUGCUGAUGACACAAAGAUGAGACAGCCUACAGGGAGGAGGUCAGGGACCUGACCGUGUGGUGCAAGGACAACAACCUCUCCCUCAACGUGAUUUAAGACAAAGAAGAUGUUCGUGGACUACAAGAAAAAUACGGCAAUUGUUCGGCCUCUGACCGCAAGGCACUACAGAGGGUAGUGCGAACAGCCCAGUACAUCACCGGGGCCAAGCUUCCUGCCACCCAGGACAUCUAUACCAGGCGGUGCCAGAGGAAGGCACUAAAAUUUGUCAUAGACUCCAGCCACCGUAGUCAUAGACUGUUCUCUCUGCUACCGCACAGCAAGCGGUACCGGAGCACCAAGUCUACUUCCAAGAGGCUUCUAAACAGCUUCUAUCCCCAAGACAUAAGACUCCUGAACAGCUAAUCAAAUGGCAACCCAGACUAUUUGUAUUCCCCCCCCACCCUCUUUUACACUGCUGCUACUCUUUAUUAUCUUUGCAUAGUCACUUUAAUAACUCUACCUACAUGUACAUGUUAUUCAAUUACCUUGACACCGGUGCCCCCGCACAUUGGCACAUUGACUCUGUACCGGUACCCCCUGUAUAUAGCCCCACUAUUGUUAUUUACUGCUGCUCUUUAAUGAUUUGUUAUUCUUAUCGCUUACUUUUUUGGGGGGUAUUUUCUUUAAACUGCAUUGUUGCUUAAGGGCUUGUAAGUAAACAUUUCACUGUAAGGUCUACACCUGUUGUGUUCGGCACAUGUGACAAUUACAAUUUGAUUUGAUUAUAUACAGUAUAUUUUUUUACAUAAAUGCAAUGUAAUUGAAGUUUAAAACGUCAAUGUUUUCUCUCUGCUUCGUGGCGAAAUGUGUAGAAUUGCAGGAAAUUAGCUAAGAGGCGGCCCUUUUUAAAUGUUAUUUUCGCACUGCAGACGUCACGGUAAAUCUCCUUGUAGACUAUUUAUUUGUGUAAUGAUAAUGAGGGUGUCCCUGAUGAAUUUGCUAUCACAAAAGGGGUCCCCAGACCCAAAAAGUUUAAGAACUUCUCUGCUGGAAUAUAUUCUGUCAUUGUAGUGCUGUAGACAUUCCAUAGGGAGCGCUGCUGUCACACAAUUGGAUAUAAGCAUCAGUGCGUCUCUCAGUAUUGAAAAAACAUCUUACCCUGUAUCAGUGGUGAGGUGUGUUAUCUACUCCAAGCCUAUAAGACCAUAACACAUCAUCACAGGGAAUGAUCAAGGCAAAAUAGAACUUCUUUUGUUUUAUUUUACCUUUAUUUAACUAGGCAAGUCAGUUAAAAACUCAUUCUUAUUUACAAUGACAUCCUAACUCAGACGACGCUGGGCCAAUUGUGUGCCGCUCUAUGGGACUCCCAAUCACGGCCGGUUGUGAUACAGCCUGGAAUCGAACCAGGGUCUGCAUUGACUCCUCUAGCACUGAGAUGCGGUGCCUUAGACUGCUGCGCCACUUGUGUUCAGAGACCCUCAAUAAAGCCGACCUCUAGUAACAGCACUCAACCUAUUUGUUUUCUCUCAUAGGAUAAGGACAAAGAUUGUUGACCCAUACAAUAAGAUUGUAGCUAGGACUGCCCAGCUCUCCAGAUUGCAGGUAUCCAUCCAUCUCCUUGUGAUUUGAGAGGCAUAAUACUAUCUGUUGUGCUGAUGGUGGUGUUGUAUUAUUAUAUGGUCUGGGACUGAGGCUCAAUAGCAGGGGGAAGAUUGCCUCUCUAGUGUUCAUUAUUAUCAGCACUCUGACAGCAUCUCUACUUCUGCACUGGACUUGAUUUCUAUGUUUAUUGGAAAGACAUCUGAGGUAGAGAAAUGGACCGACAGCAUUUUCUUGGGUUUUUAUUGUCUCUCUGCCCAUUUUCAAGAUGGGUACUUCAAGUUAGGUGCUGUACAUAUUGUCAAGGUUGCCUAAUGUAUCCUGGACAGUUUCCAGGAUCCUCCUGUUUUAAAUUGUAAAGAUGACAAUAACCCAGAGUCAUAUAGAGGUCUAUAUACCUGUAUAUGGCUCUAGGAUGUCCUCUUCUGCCCUGUCAAUACAAUGUAACUAUAGAAGGUGUCGGUGUCUCAUGCCAUACUGAUAUGAGUGCUCUGUACUCAAUGGUUUACAACAAAGAUACUGUGUGUUUUUAUUGACCGUUAAACAACACAAAUAUUAUAUGACCACUUUUACUCUUGUUGCACAUGCCUGCCAUUAUGGAAUUACUCCCCACCACUUUGGAGAAAGGCAUUUAUAAAGGUGUUUUAUGGAACUGUGUAACGAUUGUCUGUGGAAGAAGGUGUGGACCAAAGCGCAGCAUGUGUUCAUGAUUUUUGUUUGACUGAACACGAAAACACAAAACAACAACGCGAAUAAACGAAACAGUCCUGUAAGAUGCAGAAAACACUAAACAGAAAAUAACUACCCACAAGACACAGGUGGGAAAAGGCUACCUAAAUAUGGUUCUCAAUCAGAGACAACGAUAGACAGUUGCCUCUGAUUGAGAACCACACCGAGCCAAACACACAGAAAUAGAAAACAUAGAAUGCCCACCCUAACUCACGCCCUGACCAAACCAAAAUAGAGACAUAAAAAGUAUCUAAGGUCAGGGCGUGACAGUACCCCCCUCCAAAGGUGCGGACU